rnacentral:rRNA from 1 species
CGGACGGGUGAGUAACGCGUGAGUAUUUACCUUUAGGAGGGGGACAACAAUUGGAAACGAUUGCUAAUACCCCAUAUGCUUUAGAGUGAAAUAGAUUUAUCUGCCUAAAGAAAAGCUCGCGGCUGAUUAGCUAGUUGGUAAGGUAAUGGCUUACCAAGGCGACGAUCAGUAUCUGGUUUGAGAGGACGAUCAGACACACUGGAACUGAGACACGGUCCAGACUCCUACGGGAGGCAGCAGUGGGGAAUUUUCCGCAAUGGGCGAAAGCCUGACGGAGCAAUACCGCGUGAGGGAAGACUGCCUAUGGGUUGUAAACCUCUUUUUUCAGGGAGGAAUAAAAUGACGUGUACCUGAAGAAUAAGCAUCGGCUAACUCCGUGCCAGCAGCCGCGGUAAGACGGAGGAUGCAAGUGUUAUCCGGAAUCACUGGGCGUAAAGCGUCUGUAGGUGGUUUAAUAAGUCAACUGUUAAAUCUUGAGGCUCAACUUCAAAAUCGCAGUCGAAACUAUUAGACUAGAGUAUAGUAGAGGUAAAGGGAAUUUCCAGUGGAGCGGUGAAAUGCGUAGAUAUUGGAAAGAACACCGAUGGCGAAAGCACUUUACUGGGCUAUUACUAACACUCAGAGACGAAAGCUAGGGUAGCAAAUGGGAUUAGAUACUCCAGUAGUC